GGAGGGGUAGCGAAGUGGCUAAACGCGGCAGACUGUAAAUCUGUUCCUAACGGUUCGGCAGUUCGAAUCGGCCCCCCUCCACCA
rnacentral:tRNA from 1 species